GCCUGGGUGGCGGAAUUGGUAGACGCAAGGGACUUAAAAUCCCUCGGUGCUAUGCGCUGUGCGAGUUCGAUUCUCGCCCCAGGCA
rnacentral:tRNA from 1 species